UAACAGUAUUGAACAGCCACGUUUUUUUUUGUUUUGGUUGAUAAAGUAGUCAUCAGUUUGCAUCAUCAUGGUUUCAUAAAUUCCGUGUGCUAUAUGUCUACGACUAACCGUAAAAAUGGAGUCAUCUCCAGUAGGCACUUCGGCCACGACUUGCCGAUUCAGGAAAACAACUUCAAAUUUAAAUGACAAGUAGUUGGCAUUUUUAUGACUUUUUUUUAUUAUGUCCUUUUCAGUGCUGGGACCUGUUUAGGAUCGAGUCGGCUUUUGUAAUUACAUUUUUAUUUAAAUUAUUAGAAUAAACGCUGGAUCGAUUCCUGAAGUCUUGUUCUUCCUCUAGGUUCAAAAAUCAACUUAACUGGCCAGUGGUUACUUACUGGUUUGGUUAGUUGAUCAUCUUUUAACUUAAACAUUUAUCACCAAGCCCGUUUAUUUUAUAAAAAUAUAUAUUAUGUUUAAAGGGAAUGCUUAUUAGUCAUCAGAUAGGAUUCCAGCAUAUGUCAUUUGAGAAAAACUGAAGUCUCAGGCUUGUCUGUAACUUUUUCUACAUUAUUGUUUAAUUAGUUAAUACAAUGAGAUCACAAGUUAUUCAGGGGUUUUCGAAUGAUAUGUUUAAAUAAACAUUAAAUAGAUAGUUUUA